GGAAUAACCCAGAUGUUUCAAUAACAGCUUUCAAUGCAUCUUGGUUGCUCGCCACCAGUCUGUCACAUUGUUGCUGGGUGACUUUUUGUCUCUCCUGGCACACAAACUCAAGCAGCUCGGCUUUGUUUGAUGGCUUGUGACCAUCCAUCUUCCUCUGGAUCACAUCCAGUGGGGUUCCAACUGUUACAUGACAGGGUCUUGAUCUGGUCUUCCUCCAUUCACACCUGAAUUGAGCUGAGGGUGGGUUUAUCCAGCAGGACAAUGCUCCAUGCCCCACAGCCAGGUCAAUCCAGAUGUGAUCCAGAGGAAUAUGAAUGGUCACAAGCCAUCACUCAAAGCCAAGCUGCUUGAUUUUUUUGUGCCAGGAGUGGCUUAAUAAGUGACCCAACAGCAAUGUGAAAGGUGUUGCAGAGCAGCCAAGACGCAUGAAAGCUGUGAUUGCAAAUCUGGGUUAUUCCACCAAUUAUUGAUUCCUGAGCCCUUCCUAUGUUAAAACAUUAGUAUUGUGUUGUUGAAAAAUGAAUUUUAAAUUGUUUUCUUUGCACUAUUCAAGGUCUGAAAACACUCCAUCUUUUUUGGUUACUUUGAACAUUUGGUAUUUUUUGUAAAUAAACGCUCUAAAUGAGAAUAUUUGGAGUUUGGGAUAAAUGUAGUCAGUCAUUCAUUUAUAGAAUAAAAUACAAAUGUUAAUCCAGUUUUUACCAAUAGUAAAACGAGAGGAACUGAUAAUUUUACAGAGGUCUCUUAAUUUUUUCAGAGCUCUACAUAAAUAUAUAGAUCUAUAUAUCUAUUUUUAUAUAUAUAUUAUAGAUAUAACUAUAUCUUUAUAUAUAGAGAGAUUGCUAUUGUUUCAUGUGAAAAAUGUUCUCAGGAAAAUGUAUGGUACAAUAUUUUGCCACAGUUUGUAUAGGAAGCUCAAUUUCAUUGUAACCAAAUGAAACACUCAAGUUUUAAUAAAAGGUAAAACUUUAUUUUUGUGUCUUUUUUCUUUUUUGUAGUUGACGGAAUAAAAAAUAUAAAUACGAAAUGUAACCACUUUCAACUAAAAAUUCUAAGUUAAAUAAUUGGAAAAAACCAAUUGAUAUUACACUAUUUUAAGUAAAAUCAACUUCACAUGAAGUGCAUUGUACUUCAAAUAACAAUUCCAGUCCUUGAAUAAUUUAAGUUUAAUUUACUCAAGUUUUCCUAAUGCGUUACUUAAAAAAAUAGAAAGUGGUUGACUUAAAAAUGUAAGUAAAAUCAACUUGACAUGAAGUGGAUUGUACUUCAAAUAACAAUUAAAGUCCUUGAUUAAUUUAAGUUUAAUUUACUCAAGUUUUCAUAAUGCUUUACUUAAAUUUAAAGGCAACCACUUUACGCUAUUUUUUUAAGUAGAUUCAACUUAUCCGGGCUUACAGUGAAGAGAUUCAGGACUCCACAUCAAAUCCUUCAAAACGAAUCAGAGUUCCAAGGAUCCAAGAAGAGUUUUUGAUUUGAUCAUUGUGAAGGGACAUCCACAGAAAUGGAUGCUCUAAAAAAGAAAUCGGUAUGUUUUUCUUAUUUUUAAGGAAAAUGUUCUGAAAAAUUCAUCUUCUGCUUCUUCCUCUUCUUCUUCUUCUUCCUGGUGCAUGCUGGGAGAUUUUCGGAGGGUGAAAGAAAGAGAAGACUGGUUGUGGACUUAAAGGGAACCACUUCCUGGCCUUCCUGACAUCCAGGAAAAAGGUGAGAUUCAAAUCCAUGUUAAUGCCAGAAGCAAUUUAUUGUUUUUAACUUUUUAAAUAUGAUUUGGGGCAUUUCAGUUUAAUUGGAAAGAGGCAGAUCUACUGGAAACAGUGGAGAGGGAGGAGAUGAUAUGCAGCAAAAGGCCCACCCGGAUGGUUGCUGCUCCGUGUGGAACGUGUUCUAUCAGAAAGGAUCAUGCCAGCCCACAUCAAACACCUGAUCAAGAACUUGUGAAUCUUCAGGCAGAACAGAUGAAAACACCUGUUCAAAGUUCCAGUUCCCUACAUGGAACCAUGCCUGGGACUCUGUUCCACAUGUCUUCAGUCAGUCCUGGACCCUAUGACUAGGACACUAGUUCUACCAAGGCUUAUUAGAGAUAAUACAGCUGCACAAUUACAACAGGAACUCAUCUUUAGACGGUUAAUACAGAAGAUCUGCUACAUUGGAGGAUUCCAAAGCUGAGCUGGAAGGGGAAGUCACCACCUACAGGACAGCAAAUCUAAACAUUCAUUUGGAUAAACUAUUAAACCAGGUAUUUUCACAAAAAGAACAAUCUGAGAUACCUGAACAGCGUGAGCCGGCACCUGGACACCCACACACCCCAAUAAUUCCCCUUCAAAGAGCGAGCCACAUGGGAAGAUUGUUGUCAUUCACUUGCAAGGGGAGAUUCCAGUGCGUCCAGAGGUCUGGGCAAAAAUAAAAAACAACACGAGGGACUCCAUGUUCGUGAAGGAGUUGGCUGUGGCGUUUUGGGGCACCGACACCUUAGGGGAAAGGAGCCUGACUGGAAAGGAAUGCCCCACCACCAAGACCACCAGGCAGCCUCUAUCAAUUUGCUUCAAGCAGUGGCUGUACGAGAAAUACGUGGAGGACCAAUAAAUGCUGGCCGGAUUGGCAAAGACCGGAAGAUACAUAACAGAGAAGAUAAUGGAUAUCAACAAGAAGAAAAAAAAAAAAACUUUAAAAAAAAUGUUUUAUAAUUUAUUUGUUGCUAUUUACAUGUUGAAUUAUAUUUGUUAUUUCUAAAUCAAAUGCAUCUAUUAUAGAUGAUAUAUUUAUUUAGACGUAGGUUUUUUUUGUAAUAUUAUUG